rnacentral:rRNA from 1 species
AUUGAACGCUGGCGGAAUGCUUUACACAUGCAAGUCGAGCGGCAGCACGGGGGCAACCCUGGUGGCGAGCGGCGAACGGGUGAGUAAUACAUCGGAACAUGCCCAGUCGUGGGGGAUAACACUUCGAAAGAAGUGCUAAUACCGCAUACGUCCUGAGGGGGAAAGCGGGGGAUCGCAAGACCUCGCGCGAUUGGAGUGGCCGAUGUCAGAUUAGCUAGUUGGUGGGGUAAAGGCCUACCAAGGCAACGAUCUGUAGCUGGUCUGAGAGGAUGAUCAGCCACACUGGGACUGAGACACGGCCCAGACUCCUACGGGAGGCAGCAGUGGGGAAUUUUGGACAAUGGGGGCAACCCUGAUCCAGCCAUUCCGCGUGAGUGAAGAAGGCCUUCGAGUUGUAAAGCUCUUUCGGCAGGAACGAAACGGUGAGCUCUAACAUAGCUUGCUAAUGACGGUACCUGAAGAAGAAGCACCGGCUAACUACGUG